rnacentral:rRNA from 1 species
UAGGGAAUCUUCCACAAUGGACGAAAGUCUGAUGGAGCAACGCCGCGUGAGUGAAGAAGGGUUUCGGCUCGUAAAACUCUGUUGUUAAAGAAGAACAUAUCUGGGAGUAACUGUUCAGGUAUUGACGGUAUUUAACCAGAAAGCCACGGCUAACUACGCGCCAG